GACGAACGCUGGCGGCGUGCUUAACACAUGCAAGUCGAACGCUGAACCCGCUUCGGUGGGGGAUGAGUGGCGAACGGGUGAGUAACACGUGGGCAACCUGCCCCCGGCUCUGGGAUAACUCCAAGAAAUUGGGGCCAAUACCGGAUGUGACCGCUGGCCGCAUGGUCUGGUGGUGGAAAGGGUUUCCGGCUGGGGAUGGGCCCGCGGCCUAUCAGCUUGUUGGUGGGGUAGUGGCCUACCAAGGCGACGACGGGUAGCCGGCCUGAGAGGGUGACCGGCCACACUGGGACUGAGACACGGCCCAGACUCCUACGGGAGGCAGCAGUGGGGAAUAUUGCGCAAUGGGCGGAAGCCUGACGCAGCGACGCCGCGUGGGGGAUGACGGCCUUCGGGUUGUAAACCUCUUUCAGCAGGGACGAAGCGCAAGUGACGGUACCUGCAGAAGAAGCACCGGCCAACUACGUG
rnacentral:rRNA from 1 species